rnacentral:lncRNA from 1 species
UUUUUUUUUUUUUUUUUUUUUUUUUAACAUUUGAGAGAAUUCAUGCACCAUGACACCAUUUAUGAAAGAAAAUGCACAAAUAAUAUUAUAGAUACUACUAUCUGUAGUUAUAUACAUAAUGAUGGAUAUAUAGAAAAAGAAACAGAACAGGAGCUGACCUAUUAUAACCCCAGGGCCAAAUACAGCCAUUGCCUGGUUUUUAUUUUUUAUUUAUUUAUUUUUAAAUUACAGCACAUGGAAGUUCCUGGGCCAGGGACUGAAACCAAGCCACAGCUGCAACCUACACUGCAGCUGCAGUAAUGCCAGAUCCUUUAAUCCACCGUGCUGGGCCAGGGAUCGAACCUGCACCGCUGCAGCAACCCAAGCUGCUGUGGUUGGAUUCUUAAUCCACUGUGCUAUAGGGGGAACUCCUUGUCUAACUCUUUUUUUUUUUUUUUUUAAUCAUGCUUUUAUCUCAAGAGAAGUUUCCAGAGAGUUUGGGAUAGAAAAACAUGGCCUUUUCAGCCUCUAUAGUGAGAAACAGCAACAUAGGAGAAGGUUGAAAAUAACUUGUAGAGUUGGAAAUUUGUUUGCUAUGCCUUGGCAGCAAACAACUUAGAAGAGGUUUGUUUGUUUUUUGUCUUGUUUUUUGUUUUGUUUUGUUUUUUGCUUUUUAGGGCCACAUCCUCAGCAUACAGAAGUUCCAAGCCUAGUGGUUGGAUCAGAGCUGCAGCUGCUGGCCUACACCACAGCCACAGCUAUGCAAGAUCUGAGCUGCAUCUGUGACCUCACCACAGUUCACGGCAACGCCGGAUCCUUAACCUACUGAGCGAGGCCAGCGGUGACAGCUCUGAUUAGACCCCUAGCCUGGGAACCUCCAUAUGCUGUGGGAGCAGCCCUAAAAAGACGAAAAAAAAAAAAAAGAUUAAAAAGGACAUAUCUCUCUAUUCUAAAACACGCGUUCACACUGAGAUUCAUGCUUGGUUUGGUGUUUGGAAACGCACAGUGCUAACUAUAAAUAUGUCUUAGGUCAGCCCUUGCCUUUCAGGAUACGCCCUUUUGUACAUCUUGAAUUUGGUACCAAGAGCUGGUAUGAAUGACUUAUGAGAAAAUCAAGAGGGAACAUCAAGAGAGAAGCAUCACCACCUCCCUUAUUACAGAGAAUAAGGGAAGUAAAUCAGUUCCCAUGCGUUGAUUUUAAGAGCACACCUCGGGAACAAAGGAAAAAUUCUGGAUGACACAUUAGAUCACAGACUAACAAUCAGAUUAUAUAGUACAAUCUUCGGAAACACAUAUGUGCUUUUGUUUUGUUUGAUGCAUCGUCAUGGCUCCCUACGUGUUAUCUGGGCAGCUGAAUCGUUAAAACACAAGGCAGCGAUCUCUUAAGAGAAUGUAUGGAGAGGUGCAGCAUAUUAAAAUCACUCAUCUUACUGGUAAUCAGAGAAAUUCACAUUAAACAGCAAUGAUAUAGUUCCUAGUCGCAAAAUGUUAAAGAAAUUAUACUAUCCAUGACUGGGGAUGUAGAGAAACUAGCAACUUAGAGUCUUUGCUAGUGGCUUUAUAAGUUGGUUUGACCCCUUUGCAAAGCAAGGGGUAAAUACAUAUCAAGAGCUACACGAAAUAUUCCCUUUCCCUGAUCCUGUCAUUGCAUUUCUAGGAAUCUGGCCUAAAGAAAAAAUCUUAAAUAUAGAAAAAGAUGCUCACUGAGGAGUUCCCAUUAGAGCUCAGCAGUAACAAACCCAACUCGUAUCUCUGAGGACGUGGGUUUGAUCCUGGCCUCGCUUGGUGGCUUAAGGAUCCAGCAUUGCCAUGGGCUGUGGUGAAGGUCAAGGCUGCAGCUCAGAUCCUGCGUUACUGUGGCUGUGGUGUAGGCCAGCAGCUGUAGCUCCGAUUAGACCCCAAGCCAAGGAAUUUCCAUAUGCCACAGGUGCAGCCCUAAAAAGACAAAACAACAAAACAAAACAAAAAGAUGCUCAAUAGAAACCUAAUUUAGAAUAAAACAGAUAAAAUUUAAUUCUCCCUAACAGAAUAACAAUUCAAAUUUUGUAGUUUUGCGCGCACACACACACACACACACACUCUCUCUCUCUCUAGCAGCUAUUUAAAAUUACAGUUAUAGAAACUAGAUCACUAGGUACCUACAAGACAAUGUUUCAUUUUUUAAAAAAAUCAAAACUUCAUGCUCAUUAUGAUCAAAGGCACAUAAAUUAAAGUAUACAUGAGAAGGACACACCACGAAUUUAAUGCUGACUGUAUUAUGUGGAGUAUUUUUAUUUUCUUCAUAACUUUCCAUUAGGGGUUUAAUAAUAGUAUUGUUACUUUUUUAAUGAAAAAUGUAUUUCUAAUAAAAAUACACAGCAAACCAUUUUGAAUCUCUUGGAAAAGAAGCUCUUCCAACAUAGUUUAGGAGUUUAUGAUUACAACAAAAGAGUCUUGGAAUUUUGACUGUGUGUUGGUUAGUCAAAAGACCUCAUUGGUUGAGAGGGGUAAUACUAACAUGAAUUACGGAUUAUCAAGGCAUCACGAGUCGGUGCAAUCCACCCAACUGAUGGACUCCAGGAGGACAGCUCACCGAAAUCUUCAUCCGCAUCGUCUGCCUCUUUUCAGUGUCCGCUGAGUCUCCUAAACCCAGCAGAUCCAUGGUGAGUCUCAAAGAAUAGAGUCUAAUAGGGUCUAAUAUUCUACUCAUGUUGGGGGUAGGCAGUGGGAAGGGGCAAGACUCCACUUCUCAGCAGAAUCCUUUCAGUCCCAUAAAGACAAGGGAUGAAACUGUCAUGAAUUUGCACCAGUUAAUCAGCACUUCAAGAAAGUGAACUAAAUGUAUGUAUUACAUGUAUGUACUGUGUGUUGUGUGUGUAGACAUAUAUACAAGUAGAUGAUAGCUAUAUAAACGCAUUUAUAUAUGCAGAGACAUAUAGACAGAAAUAUUGACAGGUACAUAUAGAGAUAGAUGAUUGAUACAAACAUAUGCAUAUAAUUGGAUGUUCAUGAUACACUCAGGUUUUCUGCUAAGAGCUUUCCACGCAUUACCUCGAUCCUUUACGAGAAUUAACCUAUUGCCAUUUUACAGAUAAAAGACAUGAGAGGUCAAGACAUUGUCCAAGGUCAUUGCACAAGUAAGAGAACAUCACUUGACCAACAGAGCAGAGAGCCCAGAUAUGAUCAAGGCACAUCUUCUAGCGGAAAUGCAGCAGCGGCCGCCGCUGGACAUGCUAAAAUCAUCAACCACAAAGGGCGAAUUUUGCUCUCCAUGUUGGUGUUGAUAUCACCCCCUCCUGGGGACUCAGCAGCUCUGCAUCAAUGUGUCCCUGUUUCACAGAUGGGGUCCCUGAGUCCUGCGGCAGCUCCUAGUAGGCCUCAAUGCUGACAUACAUACCACUGAUCUUUAUGCUUCCACGUUGAAAACCACAGUUAACACCCCAUGCGUGCUUGCCUGCCGCACUUGAGAAGAAUACAUGUAAUUAGGAUUUCUUCUCUUUUUCUUUUUUGCUUCCACUAAUUCCAUUUGGGACUUCCUAAUACGUUUAAUGGAGAUUCCGGCUUUGGUGUUAGCUGAAGAAGGAUAUUGGGAACAUGUGGAAGUUUCAAGGGAUGGCCUUGUUUAAUUCUAGCACCAGAAAUUUUCCGUUUGGAACCAUGCUACCCUGCCUGGUGUGAACCAGAUGUGGCAAAAACAGGUCUUGUCUCUUAUUAAAAACAAGCCAAGACAGUCGUAUUCACACAUUUAUCUCAAUGAAUGCCUCUAGAAUUCAGCUGGCAUGCCAAAGAGGAGGCCUGGAGGGGCACUGCUUAAUAUUAUUCUACUGAAAAUGCUUGCGGGUUCAACAGAUAAACUGAUAAAAACAACAUAUUGGAUCCAUGCUACUCAUGCAAACAGGAAGAACAUUAUUAGGGACAAAAUUCCUUGCAGCACGAAUUGUACAACUUUUUGCUCACGCCCGUGUGCAUUCACGCAGGUGGGUCAGCUGCCUGUACAACAAACACUUCACGCUCUGAAAGGGCCAAGCGGGUUCCUGAGCCACUGCUAACGCACAUGCCCACAUCCCACACCUAGACACCGCUAAGGCGCAUGCCACGUCCACACCCAGACACCGCUAAGGCGCAUGCCCACAUCCACACCCAGACACCGCUAAGGCGCAUGCCACGUCCACACCCAGACACCGCUGACGCGCAUGCCCACAUCCACACUCAGACACUGCUAAUGCGCAUGCCCACAUCCACACCCAGGUGGUACCCAUCUGCUUUGCAGGGGUGGGGGGCGGAGGGAGGGGGAGGGGAGUCACGGCAAAUCAGGUCCUCCCUCUGCCCCUUAUUUCGCCGCUAUCGCCCCCUUAACAAGAACUCCAUCCUAGAUGCCUCUGUUAACAUUUAAAUGAUUUACUAUCACAUUCCCUCAGUUCUAAGAGAGCAGGGAGACUGCAGGCAUCAGCGACUGUAGCAGCUGCCUCCAUUUCUGCAAAGUUCCGAAUAGGGGAACUGCAGGCAUAUUCAAAGAAAGGAAAUACGGUAGCCGGUUCAGACCUCUCUGGCAGCAUUUUUGUUCUCCGACAUACCUCUGAAAGUGGGACAUUCAAUAAAACAACACUUGUUUCUAGAUUCAAACGAAUUCUAUAAAAAAAAAAAAAAAAAAGAAUCCCCCAAAUGAAUAGAGAGAACGCUAGCCUCAUAACACAGAGGUGAAAAUGACUGAAGCAGAGACGGUUCCGCCAACCCAUUAAUCCAGCAAAGCUUUGUGUGAAGACGUGGAUAUGUCAGAGCAGGUUACCUCAAGAGGGCUUUCUUUUGAACUUGAACUGCCAAAAUUCCAGGCAGACACCAAAGAGCUUCAGUUUAAGUGGGCAAAGGUGAACCGUCAGAAGGAAAGUAGAAAGAACAGAAGACCAGGCUGGUUAUCAAAGAAGAGUUUCCAAGGGAAGAAAAAAAAAUAAAGUGAAACGGGGAAAGUUUUCAGAAAGUCAACAUUCAAGGAAAGCUGCAUUUAAAAAUAUAAAUCACUCACAGGCCUGUAUGUAGGAGAAAGAGCGAACGUUUCUGCUUGCAAGCACCCUAGGACGCCUUCAGGAGAUAAAGAAGCACAAACAGGACCUGGAUCAGAGAUUAUACACAGGAGUGAGUAGCUGGCUAAGCGGGAAGAGGACAAAAUAUAAGCCAAGGUUAGAAGAGUCCAGUUACCAUUUGAAUAUAUUGGAUACUUGUUUUCUGCUCACUCCAGAGUUGGAAACUAUAGUUCAUCAACAUCUCUAACAGAGGCUUAGCAGGAACAAAGACAAAGCCACACAACAGGUAGUGGUCCUGACUACGGCGGCCUCUGGGAUGAAAAGAUGGUGCUGAUGCGGUUGGAGAAGAUGGAAGCCAGCAAUUAGAAUCUGUUCUUCCAACAAGUGUGAUCACUUGUGACUAUCUCCUUUCAGGGACCCACAGAGGUGAUACACACACGGAAGGUAUCA